AACCUUAUGGACCUGCGGGCGUAUACCUGCGGAAGGAUCAUUACAGAGUUGCAAGACUCCCUAAACCAUUGUGAACCUACCUUCUACCGUUGCUUCGGCGGGCGGGCCCAGCGCCCCCCCCGGCCCCCCGCGGGCGCCCGCCGGAGGAUACCCAAACUCUUGACAUUAGUGGCCUCUCUGAGUAUUCUUUACUGAAUAAGUCAAAACUUUCAACAAUGGAUCUCAGAUCGGAAGAGCACA
rnacentral:misc_RNA from 1 species